UACGGAGGGGGCUAGCGUUGUUCGGAAUUACUGGGCGUAAAGCGCGCGUAGGCGGCUUUGUAAGUUAGAGGUGGAAGCCCGGAGCUCAACUCCGGAAUUGCCUUUAAGACUGCAUCGCUAGAAUCAUGGAGAGGUGAGUGGAAUUCCGAGUGUAGAGGUGAAAUUCGUAGAUAUCGGGAGGAACACCCGUAGCGAAGGCGGCCGACUGGACCACACCUGACGCUGAGGCGCGAAGGCCAGGGGAGCGAACGGG
rnacentral:rRNA from 1 species